rnacentral:misc_RNA from 1 species
GGAAGGAUCAUUAACACUCUCUUCAUCAUUGAGAAAGAAAAAAAUAACACCAUUCGGUUGAACAACCAAAACGUACCUUUUCCGGGGCUCGGGUGAGCCAGUCACUUGCUGCUGCUGCAGGGAUUGCUUUGUCAAGACCUGCAGUGGUAGUGGGUGCGGACGCAAUGCAAAUUGCGUCACAGCCCUGAGUUUCCGUUGAACCCCCAUUUUUUUAACACCCUUUAUGGGCAAACCAUACCACUUCAUUGUGGUUAACCUCAAGUUUCACUUUUUGAACAAAAAAAAAAUUAUAAAACAACUUUUGGCAGUGGAUAUCUUGGCUCUUGCAUCGAUGAAGAACGCAGCAAAUUGCGAUAACUAAUGUGAAUCGCAGAAAUCUGUGAAUCAUCAAAACUUUGAACGCACCUUGCGGUCAUCCCUCGGAUGGCCAUGCCUGUUUGAGAAUUGGUAUUAUCUCUCAACCCGCUCGUUUCGGGUUGGAGGCUGAGGCUGAUGGCGUUAAACGAACUUUAACCGGUUCCGCGAUGCUGUCUUCCUUUAAUACGCAGCUCCACAGGUCACACUUUUCUGUUGCUGCCUAUAUUACGAUAUAAGCAGCAACGCUACAUGGAAAAGAGCGACCGCUCAUUGUGGAUUGCAUAUUUCAAAAUUUUACCCAUUAAUCUCAAAUCAGGCAAGAGUACCCGCUGAACUUAAGCAUAUUACUAAGCGGAGGAAAAGAAACUAACUAGGAUUCCCUCAGUAGCAGCGAGUGAACAGGGAAAAGCUCAAAGUUUGAAUCGGGAAGGGCUUGUUCUCAACCCGAGUUGUACUUUGUAGAUCUACCUUUGGGAGGCGCCGGGUAUAAGUUUGUCUCAGAAUGCGGCAUCAAAGAGGGUGAAAAUCCCGUAUUUGACCCGGAAAGCUCCUCUCUACACGGGGUGGCAUCGUAGAGUCAGGCUGUUUGGGAUUGCAGCCCAAAGUGGGUGGUAAGAUUCAUCUAAAGCUAAAUAUCUGCAAGAGACCGAUAGUGAACAAGUACCGUGAGGGAAAGAUGAAAAGAACUUUGAAAAGAGAGUGACAAUAGUCCUUGAAACUGCCAAAGGGACAAGCGUUAGGAACUGUUGUUGCGCUUCGGAUCUGUUUGUCAAGCUACACUGCCUGUUUUCGCGGAGCCGCAAGGCCUGUGGAUUUGGGAUUUGAUGUGGCUUGGUGGGCGUCUGAUCCGAGGAUUGCCGGUCAGCCACACUUUCGCACGCUCGCAAAACGCUUGGAAGUUUUUUCCUUGUGCGGAACGAGCUGGGCUUGAGUGCGGACCUCUACUCUGCCGGAGUAGGGCUGGUUGGGAUGGGAGCAUUGACUCGGAGCCAGGUUGCUCGAGAGCGUCGGAACUGCUUGCAGGGCCGUGCUCGGAGGUGGCCUUUUUUCGGGUGUUCCUGCCUGCCAGAGGCUGACUACCUCAUGGUUUCUAACGUCCCGUCUUGAAACACGGACCAAGGAGUCUAGCAUAUAUGCGAGUAUUCGGGUGGUAAACCCAUUGAAUGCGCAAUGAAGGUGAAGGCUCCGCAAGGGGCUGAGGUAGGAAUCCUCGGGUUCGCCCGGGGAGGCACUAUCGACCGAUCUGGAUGUUUUUUGAAGGAUUCGAGUUAGAGCAUAUCUGCUAGGACCCGAAAGACGGUGAACUAUGCCUGUAUAGGGUAAAGCCAGAGGAAACUCUGGUGGAAGCUCGUAGCGAUACUGACGUGCAAAUCGUUCGUCAAAUAUGGGUAUAGGGGCGAAAGACUAAUCGAACCGUCUAGUAGCUGGUUCCCUC